AACUCCAUUUUCACUUGCAUAAUAAACCAGGAUCCUCAAAACAUGACUCUUUCUUUGGUGUGUACAAUCGAGCUGGUGCCGUCCCGUGAUCCUGAGAGAAACCUGGAAACACAUAACACAAAACACUGUAAGCACAAAGCUUAGUGAGUUCUCCAAAAUACCACACAUAACACAUAUUAGCCACUCGAGGCUAUAACUCUGUGGGUCCGUGGACCCUACUUUGUGAACCUUCCGGUUCUAACUCUGGGAACCUUCCGGUUCUAACUAUGUAAACAUGCACAUCAUAAAUCACAUAGAAAUAAUGCAGUACAACACAUAACAUACACAACAUACACAUACUCUGCCACAUAACUCUGGUUACCUACUCAAGGUAAAGUAUAGUGAGAAGACUCACCUGGCAAUUAGAAAACAAUUAUCGGCACAUGCAAACCUCGGACUCGCCACCGCCUAACACAUAAGGCAAAUAUCUCUAAUUAAUACUCGAAGUCCCAACUCUAAUUAACCAACGAUUAAUCUUUNNNNNNNNNNNNNNNNNNNNNNNNNNNNNNNNNNNNNNNNNNNNNNNNNNNNNNNNNNNNNNNNNNNNNNNNNNNNNNNNNNNNNNNNNNNNNNNNNNNNNNNNNNNNNNNNNNNNNNNNNNNNNNNNNNNNNNNNNNNNNNNNNNNNNNNNNNNNNNNNNNNNNNNNNNNNNNNNNNNNNUGCCUAUGGACUCGGCGAGUUGCUCCCAUGACAACCCUCAUCUGACCUUCUGAGGUCAGAUCUGCUUCACCAAACCAUAGAUCUAACUCCCUCAAAGCCAAUAACCACGAAAAGGUCGAACCUUGGGCACUCAUGCAAGGUUCUACAAGCUCAUUUGGGUGAAACCCUCCAUUACAUAACAACCCUAGCUCAAAACUCCAAAUAGAAUGCAUAAAGCAGGAUGGAAGGGACUCUCUGGACCUCUUUGGGUCCAGAUCUAUGGCUUCACACUCAAUGGGACACUAUACUCCACAAAUCAAGCCAUAAAAGAAGCUAGAAAACCCUAAAAUCACCAAUCUUACCCAAAACAGAAAAGGGAGAACGAUUUGAUACCUCUAUGGUGAAGAUGCAAGCUCAGAAGCUCUGAAUCGACACCCCCUUGACCUCCCUUUGCUGGAAAUGACUACUCCAUUGCACAACCACCUCAAGAAUGCUCCAAAAUGGCUCUUCUUUACUCUCUCAGCUCUCUGGUUCGAUAGGAGUCUCUCAAGGGUGUAGGUGGCCGCCACUGAAGGCCAUAAGGGCCUUUAAAUAGGUCCCAAACCCGGACAAUUAGGGUUUUCCUUGACAGCGCCGACUCGGCGAGUCCAAAUACCCGACUCGUCGAGUCCCUUCAUUAAACUGGUCCCCAAAACGCGGUCCUACUCGACGAGUUGAGGCGUCAACUCGCCGAGUCUCCUUAUUCCUUAAUAUAAAAUACUCAAAUUCCCAUACCUGGAUAUCCGGAUGUUACAAUUCUCCCCCACUAGAAUCAGACUUCGCCCUCGAAGUCUCACUCUGGAAACAACUCCGGAUGUUGCUCACGCAUGUCGCGCUCUGGUUCCCGAGUAAGUUCUGACCCCUUCCGGUGUUUCCACUGGACCUGCAUCAGAGACACCUCUUUUUUCCUCAGAACCUUGAUCUUUCGAUCCCGAAUAGCCACCGGUCUCUCAACGCAGUUCAGGCCCACAUCCACCUGAAUAUCCUCUAAUGGCACUACUGCCGACUCCUCGGCUAUACACUUUCGCAGCUGCGACACAUGGAAAGUGUCAUGGAUCUGACCUAGCUCUGCAGGUAGUUCCAACCGGUAGGCUACCCUACCUACCCUCGCGAUCACCCGAAAAGGACCGAUAUAUCGGGGCCCCAACUUGCCCCUCUUCCUGAAUCGGAUCACUCCUUUCUAAGGAGAGACCUUUAGGAGUACAAAGUCAUCGACCAAAAAUUCGAUCUAGGACCGGCGCCUGUCCGCAUAACUCUUCUGGCGACUCUGAGCGGUCAACAACCUCUGCCUGACCUGCUGUAUCUGCUCUGACGUCUGAAGCACGAUCUUUGUACUUCCCAUCACACGUUGCUCUACCUUUCCCCAGCAAAUGGGGUCCAAUACCCCCUUCCCUACAACAACUCAAAAGGGUGGCAUACUGAUGCACUAAUGAUGGCUGUUGUUGUAGGAAAACUCUGCCAAAGGCAAAUACGGGUCACAAUUUCCCCCGAAAUCUAAUACACCUGCCCGAAACAUAUCCUCGAGCGUCUGAAUCGCUCGCUCGUGCUGAAGUGUCCACAGACAUCACCAUGGUAAACUCUAGCUCAUUUCUUAUAUUCAUCUUCGAUGCCGGGCACCAGGUCAACUUUUGGCCCCACAGCUGAACCCCCAAAGGUCACACAUAACAUGAUCCAAAAUAUCUCACUAACUUCCUUGCCGUGACCACCAUCACGGCCCAGUGACACGCAAGUCACGAAAUUCCCUUUUCCUCAUAAAAAUACAAUCCAAUCGAAGAUCGACUCAGCUCUAACCUCUGGCGUCUGCUGUGCAUAUUCUCCCGCGCGCCUCGCUGAUCCUCCCGACAGAGACGAAGACCCCAGUCUCGCCCCCAGUUUAACCACUAGGCUCCAUAAACUCAACACUAGGGCUACUCAAGCCUAAAACUCUUCUGCAUCAUGCACUUAUCGGAGAACACUCCACCAUCACACUCUCAUGCCGUCUAGUGGGUACUAUGGCUUCCCGCAACAUUACGACAACCUCUGACUAGUGAGUACUACGGCUCCCCGUAGUAUCACAACGCCAACUAACUAGUGAGUACUACGGCUNCUCUCUCUCUCUCUCUGACUUGUGAGUACUACGGCUCCCCGUAGCAUCACAACACCCUCUGACUGGCGAAUACUACGGCUCCCCGUAGCAUCACGACUCUCUCCCUCUCUCUCUGACUUGUGAGUACUACGGCUCCCCGUAGCAUCAUCCUAUACUCUCAUUCUCAUUUCAACGCCACACUAUGAUCACUAACUCAUGCUCCGAAGACUAUCAUAGAUAGUUACACACACCUACCUCGAUAUGCAUAAUAGACUCUGGCGGCAACCGCCAUAACACAGAACCUACCUCUACGGAGAUCCACCUCCGUAAAUAAUCCCUCUUGAUGACAAUACACGGAUGGCUCCCACUGGAAUCGUGGAUACAUGAUACAUCACUAGUCAUCUUAAACCCAAGACUCUAAAUAACUCCGGAAUCGGGACGCUAUACGCGGAAACCACGGAACACCCUAACAGAGCAUCACAAUGUCCUGCCUCUACUACUGAUUCCCUUACUCCCAGCACCAUACACAUACAACAAUACAUUUCCUCUGAAUCCCAUAAUAAUUUCCUAUUUCACUCAAUGCGCAACUUCAGUGCAUCCAAACACUCAAUUGGAAUACAAGGAAGGCGCUAACUCUUCAGAACACACUGAUGAUCCUCUGAAACCCUUUCCACUACUGCUCAAAAUCCAAGCAAGAAUACACAUCCCAGCCCGGGAGUUGGCUACUCGACAAUCUUCUACCCAUAUUUCAACCCAGAAGUUCUCAACUGCCCAUACCAUCAUUACGAGUCUUCCACUUGAAACGACUCUGACCACCACCAGAUUCCUGACCAUUGACCACCCGCCGUGGAGACACCCAUCCUUCUCUCAGACAUAUACCACAUGCAUUAUCUCGCCCUGCACCUUUCCUUGAUCACCAAUGACCCUGAUCUCAUGAAUUCAAGCCGCAGGUUUCUGUAUCCAACCCCUAACCGCUCUUGCACAAAUCUCUGGUUCUCUCAAUAAACCACCCGGUUCUCCCCCACUUAGGGUUCGAACCAUCACUAUCUGACACAUCAACAACCUCAAAAACUAUUUUCACCAGCAAUAAUGCACCUGCCCCUGGAAAGUGCUACGCAACGCCCGAUAAUCCCCUUUAAGGAAAUCAAUCGAUCUCAUAACUCUGAACCUCAGAUGAAACCCUCAAGAACUUCUCGUCACGACUGCCUCUAGUCGUUUCCAGUUUCGUACCAAUCCAAUACCAAACAACUCAUCUGUCCAAACACAUCACUGACUCAUAGACUGGACCACGAAAUCAUCAUAGUCCCCCACCUCGACUCGUCAACUGGCGUUCCAACACAUGGAUCAUCUCUAGAACAGGGACCCACUCCCAUUUUCAAUACCCAAUAUAGAUAGAAAAACCACUACACGGAUUAACUCUACUGGACUCUCCACUGGUACCUCCACAAUACGCCCUACUAUACUCAUAUAAGUGUAAUGUGUUCCUCGGCUAUCUCAGUCUCAACUUACUAUCUGCUCCUGGUAAAUCACUGCCUCGCAGCACACAUGCUACCUGAUACUCUGAUGGAAAAUCAUCAUCAAUGACAACCUGCAGGGUUUACCCCGAACCCAAAACUUAAACAUCAUGCCUCUCAUGUUCUGCACACGAACAUAAAUAACACCACCCAGGUCAUAGAAGGUGACAUCUCCUCUAUCAACUGAUUGCUCAACUCAGACCGAAAUUCUCCCCUCCCUCCGACUCCUUACCAUAAUACUCUGAAAGGCUCUCGACCUCCCUCUCAAGGGACGCCUCUUCGAACUCAAUCCUGGCCCACUGGCCUAAAACCCAUAGCAUCCAAUCUCUACCUCGUCAAUCAUGACCAGAUAACCGGGGAACUACAAGCAUCAUUCACUACGAACCAUGGUACUCAUCCCAUGACAUCUCUUCUCAAUAUGCUCUGGUGUAUGGUACUCGAACCAUAACAUCACUCCUCAAUCUGCUCUGAUGUAUGGUACUCGAACCAUAACAUCACUCCUCCAUCUGCCCCGAUGUAUGGUACUCGAACCAUGACAUCACUCCUCAAUCCGCUCCGAUGUAUGGUACUCGAACUAUAACAUCGCUCCUCAAUCCGCUCCGAUGUAUGGUACUCGAACCAUAACAUCACUCCUCAAUCCGCUCCGAUGUAUGGUACUCGAACCAUAACAUCACUCCUCAAUCCGCUCCGAUGUAUGGUACUCGAACCAUAACAUCACUCCUCAAUCCGCUCCGAUGUAUGGUACUCGAACCAUAACAUCACUCCUCAAUCUGCUCCGAUGUAUGGUACUCGAACCAUAACAUCACUCCUCAAUCCGCUCAUUAGAACCUUCAGAAUACUCCCUGUAUCAAGUAUGGGUCCUCUGCUUUCAGUAGUACGGGCCCAUACUACCUGCCACAUCUACCCAUACUUUCCACACGGACUAUCCCGGAGCUCCUAAGUAGCUGCUCGACCUUCUCGUUCACCAAUUCCGUCGCGCGCUCGCUCCCCAGCGAAAUUCUCUACUCUGCCAGCGCACUCAUCUGGCUAAGGUUACUCCCUAGGCUCUUCCUAGAUUCCCACACUUCUCUGCCAUCAGCUGCUGAAGAGCUCCUAAUGAUGCCAGCCAUCUACCUCCUGAAUAUCGUCAUAUUCGCUUGGUAGCUGACUCCCAUCAUCGAGAGUUCCACAAAGCACGAAGCAAGCAGCAUUCGAGCAUCGAAGAAUAUAUAUGACUCACUCUGGGUGAUAACUCCGCUUGCUCUGCUCAUCCUCGAAAGUACCACCGAACUCUGCAACUCUUCCCCUCGCGGGUUCUAACUAUUCUUUCUCUAAGUACCACGGUACUUAUCUAGGUAUCUCCCCUAGAUUACUCCUCUACUCAAAUCCCCUAAAGGAUUCCAACUAAAUAUUCUCACUCAUCACAUACUCAAAAGCACAUCGCAUAUAACAGCAAUUCCUAGGCUAAGGCAUCACAAAUCAGGCCACUCUAGUCCUAAGAUAUGGAAUACCUAGCCUGUCUCUAGCAUGCAAUAAUAUCUCAUAAAGUGCAUCAUAAAUAUCUCAUAACACAAAAGUAAGGGUAUUUUGGGAAAUCACCGUUCGGGCUCUGGCUGAUUGUACACACUGCUCUUUCUCGCUUUCUCUUUGAACUCUUAUUCGCUUUAGAAAAUUAUUUCUUUGAAAACUUUUCUUACUUCCUCAGUUUGAGUCCAGAUUUACCCGAAGGCGCAUCCGAAUCCCUCAAACCAAGGCUCUGAUACCAACUUGUAACACCGAAAAUUUCAAAACAAUUUUUCAUUUAAAAAUAAUCGUUUAAUUCUUAAAAACACUUUGCUUAAAAUCUCAUUCAUAAUCGAAUUACAAAACAUAACUCCAUUUUCACUUGCAUAAUAAACCAGGAUCCUCAAAACAUGACUCUUUCUCUGGUGUGUACAAUCGAGCCGGUGUCGUCCCGUGAUCCUGAGAGAAACCUGAAACACAUAACACAAAACACUGUAAGCACGAAGCUUAGUGAGUUCCCCAAAAUACCACACAUAACACAUAUUAGCCACUCGAGGCUAUAACUCUGUGGGUCCGUGGACCCUACUCUGUGAACCUUCCGGUUCUAACUCUGGGAACCUUCCGGUUCUAAAUCUGUAAACAUGCACAACAUAAAUCAC
rnacentral:lncRNA from 1 species